rnacentral:rRNA from 1 species
GGGUUGUGAGGUUAAGCGACUAAGCGUACACGGUGGAUGCCCUGGCAGUCAGAGGCGAUGAAGGACGUGCUAAUCUGCGAUAAGCGUCGGUAAGGUGAUAUGAACCGUUAUAACCGGCGAUUUCCGAAUGGGGAAACCCAGUGUGUUUCGACACACUAUCAUUAACUGAAUCCAUAGGUUAAUGAGGCGAACCGGGGGAACUGAAACAUCUAAGUACCCCGAGGAAAAGAAAUCAACCGAGAUUCCCCCAGUAGCGGCGAGCGAACGGGGAGCAGCCCAGAGCCUGAAUCAGUGUGUGUGUUAGUGGAAGCGUCUGGAAAGGCGCGCGAUACAGGGUGACAGCCCCGUACACAAAAAUGCACAUGCUGUGAGCUCGAUGAGUAGGGCGGGACACGUGGUAUCCUGUCUGAAUAUGGGGGGACCAUCCUCCAAGGCUAAAUACUCCUGACUGACCGAUAGUGAACCAGUACCGUGAGGGAAAGGCGAAAAGAACCCCGGCGAGGGGAGUGAAAAAGAACCUGAAACCGUGUACGUACAAGCAGUGGGAGC